GUCAAUUACAUUGUUAAAUGGUAACACCGCAUUUCAAAUGGAAAAACAAACAUAAUAAUUUGUUCUUACUGAGCUUUCCAUAAUUAGGAAC